GGCAGGGGGAGGGCCCGCUCACCUCGGUAGCGGCGGGAGGCGAGGUGGCACGCUGCGAGGAGCAGCACGGCCACCAGCGCCAACACCUUGGCGCUCCUCACGCUGAAGUAGUGGUUGAUCUCCCGCUUGCCCAGGAGGUCAUGGAGCUAAAGAGGACAGGAAAAGGAGACGAAAUGGAGCAGCCAGAACAGUAGGAGGAGCACAAUUUUGAGAUUCCGGAGAACUCCUUUCUACUUGAAGUCCCAAAUACACUGCAGUUCCUGGCCAGCCAGUGAGUGAUGCUGUCUAUAACAGCCGAAUUGCGGAACCCCCUGAGGCUGCUGCCGCCUGACAACUUUCUUGGACUGUGGACCUGAGGGCAUAACAUAUUGAAGAAACCCAGCAAUUUCUAACUGGUUAUCAUGUAUAUUGCUUCAUUCUUGCCAGAUACAAAAUGUUAGAACUUCGAAGGGCUGUGGAAAUUACCGUAUCCAGUGGUUUCCAAGUGGAUGCACAACACAAUUUUGCAAGGU